rnacentral:lncRNA from 1 species
GUUGGAUGGAAACAUUCCAUAGAGGAGUUGAAGGAAAAAUUGUUGUUUUAAAUCCAUUCCAAUAUAUGGCCAUGUGGCUCUUUGGAGCAGUGUUCCAUCAUGUUCCACGAUGGUGACAUCAUACAGAGCACAGAAAUCAAUGUUAGCAGAUAACCAGCCCAUAUAAAAUCGAGUAAGUAAAGUUUUAAAAAUUGUAUCAUGCAAUAUAGAUACUUUUAUGUAAUAGCAUA